UGAGGAAUAUUGGACAAUGGAGGAAACUCUGAUCCAGCAAUUCUGUGUGUGUGAAGAAGGUUUUAGGACUGUAAAACACUUUUAGUAGGGAAGAAAAAAAUGACGGUACCUACAGAAGAAGCAACGGCUAAAUACGUGCCAGCAGCCGCGGUAAUACGUAUGUUGCGAGCGUUAUCCGGAAUUAUUGGGCUUAAAGGGCAUCUAGGCGGUAAGACAAGUUGAAGGUGAAAACCUGUGGCUCAACCAUAGGCUUGCCUACAAAACUGUUGAACUAGAGUACUGGAAAGGUGGGUGGAACUACACGAGUAGAGGUGAAAUUCGUAGAUAUGUGUAGGAAUGCCGAUGAUGAAGAUAACUCACUGGACAGAAACUGACGCUGAAGUGCGAAAGCUAGGGGAGCAAACAGG
rnacentral:rRNA from 1 species